rnacentral:hammerhead_ribozyme from 1 species
UAACGGCUGAGGAGUCCCAUGUUGGGACGAAACGGCCGUCCAGUGA